GAUGAACGCUGGCGGCGUGCUUAACACAUGCAAGUCGAGCGAUGAAAUCCCUUCGGGGAUGGAUUAGCGGCGGACGGGUGAGUAACACGUGGGUAACCUGCCUCAAAGAGGGGGAUAGCCUCCCGAAAGGGAGAUUAAUACCGCAUAACAUUAGUUUUUCGCAUGGAGAACUAAUUAACGGGGUAAUCCACUUUGAGAUGGACGCGCGGCGCAUUAGCUAGUUGGUGAGGUAACGGCUCACCAAGGCGACGAUGCGUAGCCGACAGGAGAGGGUGAUCGGCCACAGUGGAACGGAUACACGGUCCAGGCGCCUGCGGGAGGCGGCAGGGGGGAAUCUUGAACAAUGGGCGAAAGCCUGAGGCAGCAGCGCCGCGUGAGUGAUGAAGGACUUCGGGUUGUAAAGCUCUGUCUUUUGGGACGAUAAUGACGGUACCAAAGGAGGAAGCCACGGCUAACUACGUGCCAGCAGCCGCGGUAACAC
rnacentral:rRNA from 1 species